GAUUUAAAUAUUGAAAUACAUUAGAAUACUUACUUUGAUUAAUAGAAGUCCAAUUUAAUAAUUUAUUGAACAUUAUGUUAACAUGACUAACAUUUUCCUUUCUUCCGUGGCUUAAGGAAUUAAAUUUGAUAGUCUCAAAUUCAUCUUAGGCGGUGGCCCAAACGAAUUAAUUUAGAUAGUAGUGACUCAAUUUAAUUUAUAGAAGAGGCCCAAAUUAAUUGGGUUUACCUAAACAGGCCCAUUUUAAUUAAAGCAAAUAAUGGCCCAAAACUAAACAUACACUCCCUCCCACCGUCAGCUUCUCUUCCCAAUUCUUCCUCGCAUUCCAAAAUUCCCAAAAUGGAACUAAAUCCCUAACUUCUCUUUUCUUUCCAAAAUCCCGAAGUCAGCAUUUAGAAUUGGGGAAGGCAGAUCCCUAGUUGAAACCAGCACAUCAGUGGCGAACCCUUCGGUUUGGAGUGAGGAGCAGCGGCGGUUCCCUCUCCGUCGAGUUUCUCUCACUCCCGUGAAUUUACCGUCAAUCACCAAGUUUAUCGGAUGUCUCUUCCGGCGCCACCGAUGUGUCGGCCCUCUCUCUCCGGCGAACCCGUCGUAGCCACCGCCCCUUUUCUCGCGGCGGGUGGUCAUCGCCGGCGUGUUGGCCUCUCGCCCUUGCUCCCAGCUGCUCGUCGCCGACCUCCACUUCGCGUGGAUGUUGCGAGCAGCAGCUUCCCCCGUUGCCGCUAUCUCGCGCUGUUGCUGCUGGUCUAUUCCGGCAUCGGCAUCGCCGCCGUUCUGUUCCUUUACGGUUCAGUCCCCAUUUCCGAAAGCUAAGUUCAUUUCCUUUAUUCCUCUAAGCUUGGUUUAUUACUCGUGGGUUAUGGGCAGUCGUUAGGUGUGUGCAUUCCUGAGCAGUACCAAAGCUUCCCCCCAAAUCCAUGUCUGCUCUUUUCUUUUUUUGCUACUGCUAUGGUUAAUGCUCCGCUGUUUAAUGGCCUACUUCUUAUGCUUGUUAUGGUGUGAGAUCUAGAAGCAUGCUCCUAUUUAUAAAUGUUGCAUUUCUCGGCUUUUGAUAUGCUAACUCUAUGGUUGUCUAAGUAUGCUUCUAAAUUCUAAGUUCUUGACUGCCCAUGGUAUGUUCUAAUGAUGCAGAGGGUGUGUAGUUUUUACUGUUUCCUCCCAUUCACUUUAUCAAGAUUUGAAAUGAGCUCUAACAUGCUUGAGGCUACAUGAUGCUAGUAUGGUUUUGAUUUACCUCUUGUGACUGAUGAGCGAGGUUGCUCUAAUUCCCGGUCACCGAGAGCUCCGCUCCCUCUCUAUGCGCGGCUGGAGAUUUGGUGUGUGUGUUGGGAGAAAAACUUGUUGCAUAUAAGGGAGGAUUUUAUAGGCUCUCUUGUGUACCUGGAGCUUGUUAGCACUCUUAACAGAUGAAUCUCUUGUGUAAUCGUGAAUUAAUUGUGGCUGCUCCCUACUCAAUUGGCAGUCCACUGCAGCAUCUUUCUCCCUCCCCUUUUUCGACAACCAUACUGACUUGGGUACGGUUUUGUAGGUGGAACUGGAGCAGACGUGGUUGGCUGGAGUGUGGGGCGCUGCUGCAGCCUUGGCUGCAGAGUGCAGUCCGCAGCUGCAGGGUUGCUUUGCCAUCUAUCUUUCCUAUUUUGGCACUAACAUAGCUUUCAUUUAAAAGUGAUGCACAAGCACUAACUAGCUGAGAUCUCGCGACGUGGUGUUUGGUCCUUGGCCCCACGACCGACCGAGACACUGCUUGGGGCGCGGUUUAACUUCGACAAAAAGGGCACAAGCUUAUCUCCUUUCAAGACCUUGUACCUCUAUACUUGUAACUUACUCUCUUUAGUGUCUUGUAAUGAAAUUUGUUCGCGACGAAUUUAUGUUCUAUAUUUCAUUUCUUGUACUAAUUCGAUACGCUCCCUUUGGAAGGAAAUAAAAACGUGUGUACUCUCUUUGCCGUUCGUCUUA